UACGUAGGGUGCGAGCGUUGUCCGGAAUUAUUGGGCGUAAAGGGCUCGUAGGCGGUCUGUCGCGUCGGGAGUGAAAACUCAGGGCUUAACCCCUGAGCCUGCUUCCGAUACGGGCAGACUAGAGGUAUGCAGGGGAGAACGGAAUCCUGGUGUAGCGGUGGAAUGCGCAGAUAGUCAGGAGGAACACCGGUGGCGAAGGCGGUCUCGUGGCAUUACCUGACGCUGAGGAGCGAAAGUGUGGGGAGCGAACAGGA
rnacentral:rRNA from 1 species